GAAAUGCGAUAAGUAAUGUGAAUUGCAGAAUUCAGUGAAUCAUCGAAUCUUUGAACGCACCUUGCACUCCUUGGUAUUCCGAGGAGUAUGCCUGUUUGAGUGUCAUGGUAUUCUCAUUUCUAGCAACUUUGUUUUGUUGUCAGAAAUUGGACUUGGAGGUUUUUUUUGCCGGUGCUUCGGCGGCUGGCUCCUCUCAAAUGCAUYAGUGUGAAUCAAGUUACACAUUACUCAGUGUGAUAAUUAUCUGCGCUGUGUUCAAUGUUGACUUUAUAAGUGUUCAUGCUUAUAACCCCGUCUGUUGACUCGGACAUUUUUUUCUUUACUAUGAAAUCUGACCUCAAAUCAGGUAGGACUACCCGCUGAACUUAA
rnacentral:rRNA from 1 species